rnacentral:rRNA from 1 species
GAUCCUGGCUCAGGAUGAACGCUGGCGGCGUGCCUAACACAUGCAAGUCGAACGGACCUAUCAUUAACAGAGACUUCGGUGAAGUGGUUUAGGUUAGUGGCGGACGGGUGAGUAACGCGUGGAGAACCUGCCCUGUACUGGGGGAUAACAGUGAGAAAUCACUGCUAAUACCGCAUAAGCGCACGAAACCGCAUGGUUUUGUGUGAAAAACUCCGGUGGUACAGGAUGGCUCCGCGUUGGAUUAGCCAGUUGGCGGGGUAACGGCCCACCAAAGCUACGAUCCAUAGCCGGCCUGAGAGGGUGAACGGCCACAUUGGGACUGAGACACGGCCCAGACUCCUACGGGAGGCAGCAGUGGGGAAUAUUGCACAAUGGGGGAAACCCUGAUGCAGCGACGCCGCGUGAAGGAAGAAGUAUCUCGGUAUGUAAACUUCUAUCAGCAGGGAAGAAAAUGACGGUACCUGACUAAGAAGCCCCGGCUAACUACGUGCCAGCCGCCGC